AUGGCUGGUGAAGGCAGCAGUUCUUCAGACUAUGAACUUUUUGAUGUGGAUGAAGAUGACGAUGAUCUAAUGUUGAUACCAGAGCAUGCACAAUGUAUUAUGGAUGAUCCAAUGCUGGUAGGUAAAAAGGACAACCACAUAGACCGGCAGCAGAAGCAGAAGCAGAUACUCGAGAAACUCAGGACGAUGGAGGAGAAGGUGAGGAUGGCGAUUCCUGAACGGCCCGCGAAGCCGCCAACCAUCUGCGUUGUCCCUGUGGACCUCACCGAGGGCAACAGGGGCGCCUACAGCCCCAAGGUCGUCUGCAUCGGCCCGAUCUUCGACAGCAAGCGCAAAACGGACAGCAUGCUCAGGCUCGAGCAUUACAAGUGGCGCUGCGUCCGCAAGCUCAUCAUUGAGCGCCACCCAGGCGGAACCUUGGAGUCGGAUGACUGGUCGCUGGAGGUACACACACCGCUGCUACGGAAGUGCACCAGCAUGAUGAUGCGCCUCGUGCCCCAAGUUCGUGCCUCCUACAGCAGCCUUUCUUUCUACGAGGAUACCAACGGUGACAACACGAGCAAUGAAGAGCUGGCGAUCAAGAUGCUGCUCGACGGAUGCUUCGUCCUCCACCGCCUGCUCAAGUACGGACGUGAAGCUAAUGGUGGCAUGGACGACGAUGAUUGGAACCAGCGUCUCGGUCGGUGCUGGGUCUGGGCAACCGUGAAGAGUGACCUACUACUGCUCAACAACCAGGUUCCUUUCUUCGUCGUUCGGAAACUGUUAAAACUCCUGAGGAGCAACAUUGACGAGAGCGAUGACAUCCUUGUCAAUGGCGGCCUCCAGUUCUUCAGCUCCCUGCAUCCUCCACGGCUCCACUCCGCUCCCAUCGCUUGCCACGACGUGCAUCACCUCCUCCACCUAUUCUACCUAUCCAUCGACCUCCCGCUGUCGUGUUCGCACCAGGACUCCGCCUGCAAGAACGCCGCACUGCCAACAGGGCAAACGUGGUGGGUGCCAUGCGCCAAGGAGCUGGAGGAGGCCGGUGUUCGGCUCUGUGCACGUAAGCAUGGUGCCGCGAGCUUCCUCGACGUGAGGUUCCACCAAGGCAAUCUAGAGAUCCCACCGCUCCAGCUAUUCGACUACAGCGAACCCCUGUUCCGCAACCUAAUCGCGUUCGAGCAGACCUACCCGGCAACGCCGGGCCGCAUCACCGAAUACGCAAUCUUCAUGGACUGCCUCGUCAAGACGAGCGAGGACCUGCGCCUCCUUCACCGGAGCGGGGUGCUCGUGAACUACAUGAACGGCGAGAGGGGCGACGCCGCCAUGCAGUUCUUCAACCGCCUCUGCGCGGGGGUGCACACCUCUGCCGGCCGCAACUACCUUGCUGGCGUGCUGGAGGAGGUCUCCAGGUACCAGAGAGGAAAGUGGCCCCGUUGGCGUGCCGCUCUAGUGAGCAACUAUUUCACCAACCCAUGGGUGACAGCGUCGGUUUUCGCCGCGGCGAUCUUGCUCGCCAUGACUGUGCUGCAGACCUUCUACACUGUCGUUGGGUACUACAAGCCAUCCAAGUAA
rnacentral:rRNA from 1 species